UUCUGUGCAUGGUGCCCAGCUCCUCUUCCCACAGCGAGCUCUCCCGUGUUGAUCACCAACCCGAUUCUUCAGCCCUGCAAAUUUAGCAGAAGAGAAAGUUGCAGAGAGGCUCAUGGUCCCUCACUAGCAAUGGAAAUGCUGUUUGGGAGGACAGACAGCACAAACAGGUAUUUUUUAUGCCUUGCACAGCUCGGGAUCCUGGUCUCUUGUUUUACACAUUUAUCAGCUUUUGGGUUUUGGAGAGGAAGGAGGAACUGGACAGCACUUCCCAGGAGUGAUCUGCAGGUAGUAAUCACUGCAGCUGUCAGGAAACUCACUCUCCCUUCUCCAUUGAUUUCCAUGGCUUUGAACUGCUACCACACACCCAACCUGGCACUGAAGAGGAAAUGUCACAUUUGAAGAAACAUCUGCAUUCUUCUUCUGAUGCAUCCAGGGUGACAAAUAAUCAGUUCUCCUUCACACACUCCAGGUUUGCUGAGGCAAACCCUUGCCUUGGAGUUAAACCUCUC